rnacentral:rRNA from 1 species
ACGAACGCUGGCGGCGUGCUUAACACAUGCAAGUCGAACGGGCGAAGAGGAGCUUGCUCUCCUAGCCUAGUGGCAAACGGGUGAGUAACGCGUAGGCAACCUGCCCUUCAGAUGGGGACAACAUUUCGAAAGGAAUGCUAAUACCGAAUGAUGUGCAUUGGUCGCAUGACCGAUGUACCAAAGGCCGGGCAACCGGUCACUGAAGGAUGGGCCUGCGUCUGAUUAGCUAGUUGGUGGGGUAACGGCUCACCAAGGCGACGAUCAGUAGCCGGUCUGAGAGGAUGAACGGCCACAUUGGGACUGAGACACGGCCCAAACUCCUACGGGAGGCAGCAGUGGGGAAUCUUCCGCAAUGGGCGCAAGCCUGACGGAGCAACGCCGCGUGAGUGAAAGAAGGUUUUCGGAUCGUAAAGCUCUGUUGUCAGGGACGAGAGACUUAUUCAGGAAAUGGGAUAAGGAGGACGGUACCUGACGAGAAAGCCACGGCUAACUACGUGCCAGCCGCAGC